CUUGGGGGUGAGGGGGUUUGAGUCCCCACUACCAUGAGAGUGACAAUCUCACCAUCCCAAAGCAAAUGCACUAGGGCAGCACAGCAGCUUUUUGGGAGCCCAGCUGAAGGGGAAGGAAUUCUGUCUCCAUGGCCAUCCUUGGGUGUUCUUCAGUGGGUGUGAGCAGAUGCUGCCCAGCUGUCCAUGAAUUAUCAUCAGGAAGAAGGUACGGAGCUGCAAAUGUCCAGACUGUGAGUCGAUCAGAUGUAUCAUCUGCAUGCUCCUGAUCAGCCAAAAAUUAUGAAAAGCAAGAAGUGACCUGGGAAUUCAGUGGGUCAGGUUCCAAUGGCACAGACGUGACCCCAGCGUGUGUGGCUGGAACUGAGCAGGCCCUGGACAUUGAGCUGGUCAAACAAACAGGCUCAGUUGGAUGUUGGGAAUGAAGGACAUCCCUGAACUUGGGUGAGAUCAAAGGAAAUGUCAACCACGAGCUGCCAGGGAGGGCUGCACCUUCCCAACCACUUGGGAAAGGAGUGGAAUUCCCUCCAGGAGGAACCACGCAGGGAAUCGAGAUGGGAGCGAAACAACCCAUAUUUGAAAUUACUGCUGUAAAACAUCCCUGCCUGGAAUUCCAGUUUGGUCCAACGAGCAGGAAGGUGAUUCAGCUCUUUGCUUAUUGGACUUUGUCAGCUUUCCAUGGCUGAAGCAGAAUCCGAUGGAAUGAGACAGCUCCCUGCCACCUGCAAAGCAGGGGUGGAUUUCUGAGAGGAACUGUCCUGCACUGGGAAACAUCUCUGAGAAGCCCCUGGGAUCUGCUGGGUGUUCCUGGAGAAGGGACACGAGGGGACUGUCCCUCCCUGGCCACCGCAGGGCUGUCUCCCAGAAGAUGGAGCUCUUUCCCCAGCACUGCUGAUGGAGACCUUUCUGUAUCACAGGCCCACAAGGCUGGGACAGCUGGGACACAGGAAUGCUCCUCGUGAAGCACUUGGAAACGUGCAGUUGAGCCCUCAAACCCUUCUUUGAUGCAUUUUUUAGACGUGUUUCAGGUAAGCCUUGUAGUGUUUCUAAGGUUCUCUGAGUUUGCCUCAUUUCUAAGGGAAAAAACCCCAGAGACCUGUAGAUAAAUGUGGGAUUGAGUGUCCACUUUGUUGCACAAAUGUACAGUAGUUGAUCUUGAGCAAAUAAUUCUCCAGCUCUCAGACUCUGAUAAUCUGUGGACCGAGUAUCUAAUGCUGCAAAUGUUGUUUGGAAACUUUUAAGCCCUGUCCUGUUAUGCAAGAAAUGAGAAGUGAACAUUUCUACACUUGCAGUUUGAGCUGUACUGAACUAAGUCUGUGGAAUGCAUUGUGAAAUGUAAAAAACCAACAAAACCGCAAAAAACCCACCCCCAGAACCCCGAUCUCAAUAAAGCUUCUAGACAGAA